UAGGUUAAAAACUGCGGGGAUGAGCUGAGGGUAGGGGUGAAAGGCCAAUCAAACUCCGUGAUAGCUGGUUCUCUCCGAAAUGCAUUUAGGUGCAGCGUUGCGUGUUUCUUGCCGGAGGUAGAGCUACUGGAUGGCGAAUGGGCCCUACAAGGUUACUGAUGUCAGCCAAACUCCGAAUGCCGGUAAGCCAAGCGUGGCAGUGAGACUGUGGGGGAUAAGCUUCAUAGUCGAGAGGGAAACAGCCCAGACCACCAGCUAAGGCCCCUAAGCGUGUGCUAAGUGGGAAAGGAUGUGGAGUUGCUUAGACAACCAGGAGGUUGGCUUAGAAGCAGCCAUCCUUUAAAGAAAGCGUAACAGCUCACUGGUCUAAACAAGGGUUCCUGCGCCGAAAAUGUAACGGGGCUCAAGCCACGAGCCGAAGCUUCGGAUGCACUCCUUCGGGGGUGCGUGGUAGCGGAGCGUUCCCUAGGCCUGUGAAGCGGCACCUGUGAGGGGCCGUGGAGGCAUGGGAAGUGCGAAUGCU
rnacentral:rRNA from 1 species